rnacentral:lncRNA from 1 species
AUUUUUGUGCAGAAAAAUAUAUUACUCCUAAAACUAAGUGUUACCAAACAUCCCAUAACAAAAGAUUAAAUUCCCAUAUUAAUUGAACAAACAAAAAAUUUAGUCUAUGAUAACCUUGGUAAGUAAGACUAAAUGAUAAGAUAAGUAAGGCUAAAUAUGCUUAUAUAAUAAACAACAUUAAAUUGGUAACAUAUAAUUUGUGUAAUAUCCUAAGUUGUUCAUAAUACAGAAUUUGUAAAACUCUCAGGAUUUUGUGCUAAGGGAAGAUUAUAAAACAUAUUGAACACCAUCGACUUCUUAGUCCAACCAGCCGUGUUACGGAUUAGGUCAAUAUCCUUAUCCUAUAACCUUUAAAUAUUGUCGUAUCAAUAUUGCUUUUGUUAAGAACAUCCUUUACCCAUCUACUUAUUGUCUGUGUAGAGGCAGGAUGAAAGGGCUUUUUAAAAGUUAAAAUAAGUGACUCCUCUUGUAAGCGGUAUUAUUAAAAAUUACCUCUCAAUUUUUAAGUAAUGUUGUAACGUAGAAGCUACACAAAGUUCCGGUUUAUUUUUAAAAAAUGAAUAAACUAAGUAUGGUUGUUUCCUGCCUCUACCUGACGUAUUUAAUCUAGCAGGAAUUAGAAUUUCUAUCUUGUCAGGACUAUUUUCGAUAUUACCUACUUCAAUCUUCGAUAUUGUUUAUACCCUCUGACCCGAGGUCAAUCACAAUAAUGUGACUAGUUUUAAGGUAAGGUCUUUUAUUGAUAAUUGAGAUAAAGGAAAAAGAGAUGUCAAAUAUUCUAAAACAGGGCUAGGGUCCCAUGUUGCUGAAUAUCGGGGAGCACUAGGAUUUCUAUUAAAAAUGCCCUUAAAAAAUCGUUUUAGUAUUCUUUCAUCUUCACCUCCAAAAGUAAAGAUCAAUGCAAAAGCUGCUCUAUAUCCAUUUAAAGAUGAGUAAGAAAGGCCCCUGUUAAAAUUCUCAAGAAAAAAAUUCCAAAAUGAUAUUAAUAUCACCAUUAUAUGGAUCUAAUUUCCUUUCCAAACAGUAAUUCCACCAUUUUCUAAAACAGAUAUUGUAUUGUUUUAAGGCGUUUUCUGUUAUCGAAUCUAACAUAACCGGAAAAGCAGAAUCCGUAAUUCCCUUUCAUUUUAAUGAUUCCCGCACAAUCUCCCUACCACCAGGGAAAGGGUCUUGUACAGGGGGUGUUUCUCUCUGAAAGGAGAAAAAAUUAAGUUUUUAUCUGGACCAAAAAUUAAAGGUUCUUCUAUUAAAAGUCCCAAAAACAAAGGGUACCAAGAUUGAGUCGGCCAAUUAGGAACCACUAAAAUACCUGUAGCUUUAUCCUGAAAAACUCUAUCAAUUAAUAAAAAGGGAGGGAAGGCAUAAAAAUAAUACGAACUCCAAACAAUAGUGAACGCAUCUACACAAACACAGUCUGGGUCAGGACCCCAAGAAACAUAAUCGAUACAUUUUUUAUUACUUUUUGAGGCAAAUAAAUCUAUAUCAGGUCUACCAAAAAGUUGUAUGAUUUUAGAAAAAACAAAAUUAUUUAACUCAAAUUCUGUAUUGCAAGAUCUAUUUCGAGACAAUAAAUCUGCUUUUGUAUUUUCAGUAGUAUUAAUAUAAGAAGCCGAUAUUAUAAUAUUUCUUGACUCGCACCAGUCCCAUAUGAGACGUGUUAUAUUAUUUAAAUGUGUGUAUCGAAUACUACCCAUCCGGUUUAUACAGGCAAUUGCUGUGAUGUUAUCUAUAUGAAGUAAAAUUUUACAAUUUUUAUAAGUUCCUGCUAAAGAUUUAAGACCAUAAUAUGCAGCACAUAACUCCAACCAAUUUAUAUGUUUUCCUCCAAAAACCUUUUGCUUCUAUUUUCUCAGAGAAUGCACUCCAGCCGGUCUCAGAUGCAUCUGAAUAAAUCUCAAAAACAAAAGGCUGUGGUUUUAUUAACUUUAGCUUUGUUUUGGUUCCGAUUUUGGGAUUAUUCUAGAACUGCGCAGAACUCGUUGCGCCGUAAAGUAAAAUCCGGAAUCGCUCCCGUUUCAAUUCUGCAUGGUAUGGAACCCGAACGCUUGACGCACUGACAGUAAACAGCUGAUUCUGAUUGUUUAUUUACUAAACACAACUUUUUGAAAUUUUGAAUAUUGCUAAUUGCUUUGGUUUUGGACCUUUAUAUUUAUUUUAAACAUUAGGACUGGAAUAAAAAUGAAUGUAACUGCAUUAAUAGAGGAGCUUUUAACAUCUAGCGAUACAUCAGCUUCUUCUGACGAUUUAGAGGGUGUUUUGGAAGUUGUUAUACCAGAAGUGUUGCAACAUAGGCAGAAAAAUGAAAACUAUGCCGAGAGCAUAAUGCCCAUGUAUACAGAACAAGAAUUCUUAGAGCAUUUUAAAGUUCCGAGACUUGUGGUCAUAGAGCUAGCUAGAGACUUCCAGGAGUCUGAAUAUUAUCCUAAAAAAGACACCGGAUUUUUAAGAAUUGGUGCUGAAAAGUCAAUAUGUAUUUUUAUUUGGUACGCAAGUCAUGAAGCUGCCUCAUUUAGAGAUGUUAGUGACAGAUUUAAUAUUGCUAUAAGUACGUUACAUUUUAAUACACAAUGUAACUUACUUCUUAAGUAAUAAGUCGAAAGAGGUAAUAUGCUGGCCAACAGAGAACGAAAAAGUUGUAAUUGAACAACAAUUUUUGGAAAUGGGUUUUCCUGGUGUGCUUGGGGCUAUGGAUGGGUCACAUGUUAGGAUUGACCAACCUAAAAAUGAUCCAGAGAGCUAUUUGAAUAGAAAGAAGUUUUAUUCCAUUCAGUUUCAAGUAGUCUGUGAUUCAAGCCGUAAAAUUAGAGAUGUGUUCAUUGGCUUUCCUGGGUCGGUGCACGAUGCAAGGGUGUUUAAUAAUUCUCCACUAUUUCAUAGUUUACCCGAAAGAUGUGGAGAAAAAGUUAUCCUAGCAGAUAGUGCCUAUCCUUGUCUACGCAAUGUUUUGACACCAUAUAAGGACAAUGGUAAUUUGAGUGAAAUUGAAAAAAAUUUUAAUAUCAAAUUAAGCCAUUGUCGCAUUGUCAUCGAACAUGUCUUUGGAAUUUUAAAACAAAAAUUUAGGCAGCUAUACCAUCUAAAACUUAGAGAUGAGACAUUGAUAUGUCAUUUUAUAAGAGCCUGUUGUGUUUUGCACAACUUAACUUUAAAUCUAGAGCAGGAGUUGAUUGAAGAGCCUCAAGGAGCUGAUAAUAUUCCACCUCCAUAUGUUGGAGAAAAUAUUGAGGAAAACAUGGCUGGCAACGCUUAUAGGAAUUACGUAGCUGCCCUAUUAUUUAAUCAUUAAAAUAAAUAAAAAACUGUUUAUACUUUAUUAUGCCUUUUAUUUU